CAUGAGGGUGCUUGGUAGGACGGUUAAGGAAGGACGAUUCACUCGUCUUCUCAUCGCUGGGACCUGGGAGUGCAGCCCUCCCCUCCUGAAUUAUACU